CAGCCGCCGCGGGAAUACGUAGGUGGCAAGCGUUGUCCGGAAUUAUUGGGCGUAAAGAGCUCGCAGGCGGUUUCUUAAGUCUGAUGUGAAAGCCCCCGGCUCAACCGGGGAGGGUCAUUGGAAACUGGGAAACUUGAGUGCAGAAGAGGAGAGUGGAAUUCCACGUGUAGCGGUGAAAUGCGUAGAGAUGUGGAGGAACACCAGUGGCGAAGGCGACUCUCUGGUCUGUAACUGACGCUGAGGAGCGAAAGCGUGGGGAGCGAACAGGAUUAGAUACCCCCGUAGUCCCUGUCUCUUAUAC
rnacentral:rRNA from 1 species